rnacentral:pre_miRNA from 1 species
UACUCCCUCCGUCCGGAAAUACUUGUCAUCAAAAUGGAUAAAAAUAGAUGUAUCUAAAACUAAAAUACGUCUAGAUACAUUUCCUUUUAUCCAUUUUGAUGACAAGUAUAUUCGGAUGGAGGGAGUAGAAA